rnacentral:rRNA from 1 species
GGGGAGCAAUCCCUGAGUAGAGUGGCAAACGGGUGAGUAACACGUGGGUGACCUGCCUUCGAGUGGGGGAUAACGUCCCGAAAGGGACGCUAAUACCGCAUGAUAUCCUGCUCUUGGAUGAGUGGAGAUCAAAGCUGGGGAUCGCAAGACCUGGCGCUUGAAGAGGGGCCCGCGCCUGAUUAGCUAGUUGGUGGGGUAACGGCCUACCAAGGCUACGAUCAGUAUCCGGCCUGAGAGGGCGGACGGACACACUGGGACUGAGACACGGCCCAGACUCCUACGGGAGGCAGCAGUGGGGAAUUGUUCGCAAUGGGCGAAAGCCUGACGACGCAACGCCGCGUGGAGGACGAAGAUCUUCGGGUCGUAAACUCCUGUCGAGUGGGAAGAAUGGAUCGGGGAUGAAUAUGUCCCGGUAUUGACGGUACCACUAAAGGAAGCCCCGGCUAACUCCGUGCCAGCAGCCGCGGUAAUACGGGGGGGGCAAGCGUUGUUCGGAAUUACUGGGCGUAAAGGGCUCGUAGGCGGCCAACUAAGUCGGACGUGAAAUCCCCAGGCUCAACCUGGGAACUGCGUCCGAUACUGGAUGGCUUGAAUUCGGGAGAGGGAUGCAGAAUUCCAGGUGUAGCGGUGAAAUGCGUAGAUAUCUGGAGGAAUACCGGUGGCGAAGGCGGCAUCCUGGACCGACAUUGACGCUGAGGAGCGAAAGCUAGGGGAGCAAACGGGAUUAGAUACCCCGGUAGUCCUAGCCCUAAACGAUGAAUGCUUGGUGUGGCGGGUAUCGAUCCCUGCCGUGCCGAAGCUAACGCAUUAAGCAU